rnacentral:tRNA from 1 species
GUUUUAAUAAUUUAAUUGAAAAUAUUGGUCUUGUAAAUCAAAAAUGAAAUGUAAUUUCUUAAAACA